AAAUAGAUAUGAGAUGAGCCAUCACACUCACAAGUCACACCACAAAAAAAGGCAAUAGAAGUGAAGCUUGAGAAUGAUGAAGCCAACUCUUGCUUUUCUCUCCCUUAUCUUCCUCUUUUUGUUUGCUACUACUUUGGAAUCAAGAAAAGAGCCUGGAGAAUAUGGGAAAAUGGUGAUGAAAGAUAAUGAAAUUUCUGAAGGAAUCGAAGGCCUUCUUGUUGAUGGAUUGAAGCACAAAUGUGAAGAGGACAAGACAAAUAUUCUGAGGAAUUUUGAACCCAUACCAAAUGUUUCUGUUUAUAAAGAGGACAUUAUUAGUGCCGAGGAGAAGAAGCAAAAGAUUGUGAAGAAUUUUGAACCCAUACCAAACGUUUCUGUUUAUAAAGAGGACAUUAAUUAUUAGUGCCGAGGAGAAGGAGCAACAUAUUGUGCGAAGAAUUUUGAACCGAAACCAAAUCUUUUUCUUUACGGUGAAGCUAACAGGAAAUAAUGAAUUAAGUUUAUGAUGAUGAUUAAAAAAACGUCGUAUAUUAUGGUGUUCCUAGUUAUCUAUGUAUUAGUGUAUUAAUAAUAAGAUAUGUUGUGAGAUCUUUAAUUUGGUUCUGAAAUAAUAGUUCAGUGUUAAACAAUUAUUUAGAUUAUUAGAACUUAGAUUGCGAUGGCAAUUUGAGAUCUCAUGGUUGAUAUAUGUUUUCGUAUAAAGUGUACCUUCGUUUUAUUAA